rnacentral:rRNA from 1 species
UACAGAGGAUGCAAGCGUUAUCCGGAAUGAUUGGGCGUAAAGCGUCUGUAGGUGGCUUUUUAAGUCCGCCGUCAAAUCCCAGGGCUCAACUCUGGACAGGCGGUGGAAACUACCAAGCUGGAGUACGGUAGGGGCAGAGGGAAUUUCCGGUGGAGCGGUGAAAUGCGUAGAUAUUGGAAAGACCACCAAUGGCGAAGGCACUCUACUGGGCCAUUACUGACACUGAGAGACGAAAGCUAGGGGAGCAAAUGGGG